GAUGAACGCUGACAGAAUGCUUAACACAUGCAAGUCAACUUGAACUUCGGUUUGGGUGGCGGACGGAUGAGUAACGCGUAAAGAACUUGCCUCACAGAUAGGGACAACAUUUGGAAACGAAUGCUAAUACCUGAUAUUAUGAUUUUAGGGCAUCCUAGAAUUAUGAAAGCUAUAUGCGCUGUGAGAGAGCUUUGCGUCCCAUUAGCUAGUUGGAGAGGUAACGGCUCACCAAGGCGAUGAUGGGUAGCCGGCCUGAGAGGGUGAUCGGCCACAAGGGGACUGAGACACGGCCCUUACUCCUACGGGAGGCAGCAGUGGGGAAUAUUGGACAAUGGACCAAGAGUCUGAUCCAGCAAUUCUGUGUGCACGAUGAAGUUUUUCGGAAUGUAAAGUGCUUUCAGUUGGGAAGAAAAAAAUGACGGUACCAACAGAAGAAGUGACGGCUAAAUACGUGCCAGCAGCCGCGGUAAUACGUAUGUCACAAGCGUUAUCCGGAUUUAUUGGGCGUAAAGCGCGUCUAGGUGGUUAUGUAAGUCUGAUGUGAAAAUGCAGGGCUCAACUCUGUAUUGCGUUGGAAACUGUAUAACUAGAGUACUGGAGAGGUAAGCGGAACUACAAGUGUAGAGGUGAAAUUCGUAGAUAUUUGUAGGAAUGCCGAUGGGGAAGCCAGCUUACUGGACAGAUACUGACGCUGAAGCGCGAAAGCGUGGGUAGCAAACAGG
rnacentral:rRNA from 1 species